AGGUUUUGUUGAAUGAUUUCUUCGGAAUGAAUUCUUUAAAACCGAGUGGCGGACGGGUGAGUAACACGUGGGUAACCUGCCCUUAAGUAGGGGAUAACAUUUGGAAACAGAUGCUAAUACCGUAUAAACCUCAGAAACACAUGUUUCUGAGUUGAAAGGCGGCUUUCGAGCUGUCGCUUUUGGAUGGACCCGCGGCGUAUUAGCUAGUUGGUGAGGUAAAGGCUCACCAAGGCGGUGAUACGUAGCCGACCUGAGAGGGUGAUCGGCCACAUUGGGACUGAGACACGGCCCAAACUCCUACGGGAGGCAGCAGUAGGGAAUCUUUCACAAUGGACGAAAGUCUGAUGGAGCAACGCCGCGUGAGUGAAGAAGGUUUUCGGAUCGUAAAACUCUGUUGUUGGAGAAGAACACGUUUGAGAGUAACUGUUCAGACGUUGACGGUAUCCAACCAGAAAGCCACGGCUAACUACGUGCCAGCAGCCGCGGUAAUACGUAGGUGGCAAGCGUUAUCCGGAUUUAUUGGGCGUAAAGCGAGCGCAGGCGGUUUCUUAAGUCUGAUGUGAAAGCCUUCGGCUUAACCGAAGAAGUGCAUCGGAAACUGGGAAACUUGAGUGCAGAAGAGGACAGUGGAACUCCAUGUGUAGCGGUGAAAUGCGUAGAUAUAUGGAAGAACACCAGUGGCGAAGGCGGCUGUCUGGUCUGUAACUGACGCUGAGGCUCGAAAGCAUGGGUAGCGAACAGGAUUAGAUACCCUGGUAGUCCAUGCCGUAAACGAUGAGUGCUAAGUGUUGGGGAGGUUUCCGCCUCUCAGUGCUGCAGCUAACGCAUUAAGCACUCCGCCUGGGGGAGUACGACCGCAAGGUUGAAACUCAAAGGAAUUGACGGGGGCCCGCACAAGCGGUGGAGCAUGUGGGUUUAAUUCGAAGCAACGCGAAGAACCUUACCAGGUCUUGACAUCUAGUGCAAUCUGUAAAGAAUACUGAGUUCCCUUCGGGGACGCUAAAAACGGGUGGGUCCAUGGCUG
rnacentral:rRNA from 1 species